rnacentral:rRNA from 1 species
AUGUACAUGCCUACGACAUAGAAUUAAUUCAUCGUAUCCCAUUAGAAAUCCACAGUUAAGCACACUUGGGCUAGAGUAAUACUAGGAUGGGUGACCGCCUAAGAAGUCCUAGUAUUUUACAUG